UGAGGAAUAUUGGUCAAUGGGCGAGAGCCUGAACCAGCCAAGUAGCGUGAAGGAUGACUGCCCUACGGGUUGUAAACUUCUUUUAUAAGGGAAUAAAGUUCUCUACGUGUAGAGUUUUGUAUGUACCUUAUGAAUAAGCAUCGGCUAACUCCGUGCCAGCAGCCGCGGUAAUACGGAGGAUGCGAGCGUUAUCCGGAUUUAUUGGGUUUAAAGGGAGCGUAGACGGCGGUUUAAGUCAGCUGUGAAAUGGUGCGGCUCAACCGUAGCACUGCAGUUGAAACUGGACGGCUUGAGUGCAGUUGAGGCAGGCGGAAUUCGUGGUGUAGCGGUGAAAUGCUUAGAUAUCACGAAGAACCCCGAUUGCGAAGGCAGCCUGCUAAGCUGCAACUGACGUUGAGGCUCGAAAGUGUGGGUAUCAAACAGG
rnacentral:rRNA from 1 species